GGUUUCCGUAGGUGAACCUGCGGAAGGAUCAUUACCGAGUGAGGGCCCUUUGGGUCCAACCUCCCACCCAUGUUUAUUUUACCUUGUUGCUUCGGCGGGCCCGCCUUAACUGGCCGCCGGGGGGCUUACGCCCCCGGGCCCGCGCCCGCCGAAGACACCCUCGAACUCUGUCUGAAGAUUGUAGUCUGAGUGAAAAUAUAAAUUAUUUAAAACUUUCAACAACGGAUCUCUUGGUUCCGGCAUCGAUGAAGAACGCAGCGAAAUGCGAUACGUAAUGUGAAUUGCAAAUUCAGUGAAUCAUCGAGUCUUUGAACGCACAUUGCGCCCCCUGGUAUUCCGGGGGGCAUGCCUGUCCGAGCGUCAUUGCUGCCCUCAAGCCCGGCUUGUGUGUUGGGCCCCGUCCUCCGAUUCCGGGGGACGGGCCCGAAAGGCAGCGGCGGCACCGCGUCCGGUCCUCGAGCGUAUGGGGCUUUGUCACCCGCUCUGUAGGCCCGGCCGGCGCUUGCCGAUCAACCCAAAUUUUUAUCCAGGUUGACCUCGGAUCAGGUAGGGAUACCCGCUGAA
rnacentral:rRNA from 1 species